GGGUUGUGAGGUUAAGCGACUAAGCGUACACGGUGGAUGCCCUGGCAGUCAGAGGCGAUGAAGGACGUGCUAAUCUGCGAUAAGCGUCGGUAAGGUGAUAUGAACCGUUAUAACCGGCGAUUUCCGAAUGGGGAAACCCAGUGUGAUUCGUCACACUAUCAUUAACUGAAUCCAUAGGUUAAUGAGGCGAACCGGGGGAACUGAAACAUCUAAGUACCCCGAGGAAAAGAAAUCAACCGAGAUUCCCCCAGUAGCGGCGAGCGAACGGGGAGCAGCCCAGAGCCUGAAUCAGUGUGUGUGUUAGUGGAAGCGUCUGGAAAGGCGCGCGAUACAGGGUGACAGCCCCGUACACAAAAAUGCACAUACUGUGAGCUCGAUGAGUAGGGCGGGACACGUGGUAUCCUGUCUGAAUAUGGGGGGACCAUCCUCCAAGGCUAAAUACUCCUGACUGACCGAUAGUGAACCAGUACCGUGAGGGAAAGGCGAAAAGAACCCCGGCGAGGGGAGUGAAAAAGAACCUGAAACCGUGUACGUACAAGCAGUGGGAGCACGCUUAGGCGUGUGACUGCGUACCUUUUGUAUAAUGGGUCAGCGACUUAUAUUCUGUAGCAAGGUUAACCGAAUAGGGGAGCCGAAGGGAAACCGAGUCUUAACUGGGCGUUAAGUUGCAGGGUAUAGACCCGAAACCCGGUGAUCUAGCCAUGGGCAGGUUGAAGGUUGGGUAACACUAACUGGAGGACCGAACCGACUAAUGUUGAAAAAUUAGCGGAUGACUUGUGGCUGGGGGUGAAAGGCCAAUCAAACCGGGAGAUAGCUGGUUCUCCCCGAAAGCUAUUUAGGUAGCGCCUCGUGAAUUCAUCUCCGGGGGUAGAGCACUGUUUCGGCAAGGGGGUCAUCCCGACUUACCAACCCGAUGCAAACUGCGAAUACCGGAGAAUGUUAUCACGGGAGACACACGGCGGGUGCUAACGUCCGUCGUGAAGAGGGAAACAACCCAGACCGCCAGCUAAGGUCCCAAAGUCAUGGUUAAGUGGGAAACGAUGUGGGAAGGCCCAGACAGCCAGGAUGUUGGCUUAGAAGCAGCCAUCAUUUAAAGAAAGCGUAAUAGCUCACUGGUCGAGUCGGCCUGCGCGGAAGAUGUAACGGGGCUAAACCAUGCACCGAAGCUGCGGCAGCGACGCUUAUGCGUUGUUGGGUA
rnacentral:rRNA from 1 species